AUGAAGGCCUUCUGGGUUGUAAACUUCUUUUACCUGGGAAGAAACCUCAGUUUUCUAACUGAGUUGACGGUACCAGAGGAAUAAGCACCGGCUAACUCCGUGC
rnacentral:rRNA from 1 species